GUCCCCGUAGUUUAAGCGGUAAAACGCCGUCUGUGAAAAGGGGAGUUGUAGGCUCGAAACCUGCCGGGGAUG
rnacentral:tRNA from 1 species